rnacentral:rRNA from 1 species
GAUGAACGCUGACAGAAUGCUUAACACAUGCAAGUCAACUUGAAUUUGGGUUUUUACCUUAGGUUUGGGUGGCGGACGGGUGAGUAACGCGUAAAGAACUUGCCUCACAGCUAGGGACAACAUUUGGAAACGAAUGCUAAUACCUAAUAUUAUGAUAAUAGGGCAUCCUAUAAUUAUGAAAGCUAUAAGCGCUGUGAGAGAGCUUUGCGUCCCAUUAGCUAGUUGGAGAGGUAACGGCUCACCAAGGCGAUGAUGGGUAGCCGGCCUGAGAGGGUGAUCGGCCACAAGGGGACUGAGGCACGGCCCUUACUCCUACGGGAGGCAGCAGUGGGGAAUAUUGGACAAUGGACCAAGAGUCUGAUCCAGCAAUUCUGUGUGCACGAUGAAGUUUUUCGGAAUGUAAAGUGCUUUCAGUUGGGAAGAAAGAAAUGACGGUACCAACAGAAGAAGUGACGGCUAAAUACGUG